rnacentral:rRNA from 1 species
UACAGAGGGUGCAAGCGUUGUUCGGAAUUACUGGGCGUAAAGGGCUCGUAGGCUGCCAACUAAGUCAGACGUGAAAUCCCUCGGCUUAACCGGGGAACUGCGUCUGAUACUGGAUGGCUUGAGAUUGGGAGAGGGAUGCGGAAUUCCAGGUGUAGCGGUGAAAUGCGUAGAUAUCUGGAGGAACACCGGUGGCGAAGGCGGCAUCCUGGACCAACACUGACGCUGAUGAGCGAAAGCCAGGGGAGCAAACGGG